UACGUAGGGUGCAAGCGUUAAUCGGAAUACUGGGCGUAAAGCGUGCGCAGGCGGUGAUGUAAGACAGUUGUGAAAUCCCCGGGCUCAACCUGGGAACUGCAUCUGUGACUGCAUCGCUGGAGUGCGGCAGAGGGGGAUGGAAUUCCGCGUGUAGCAGUGAAAUGCGUAGAUAUGCGGAGGAACACCGAUGGCGAAGGCAAUCCCCUGGGCCUGCACUGACGCUCAUGCACGAAAGCGUGGGGAGCGAACGGG
rnacentral:rRNA from 1 species